UGGGGAAUAUUGGACAAUGGGGGAAACCCUGAUCCAGCGAUGCCGCGUGAAUGAAGGCCUUAGGGUUGUAAAGCUCUUUCACCGGUGAAGCGGUAACCGGAGAAGAAGCCCCGGCUAACUUCGUGCCAGCAGCCGCGGUAAUACGAAGGGGGCUAGCGUUGUUCGGAAUUACUGGGCGUAAAGCGCACGUAGGCGGACUAUUAAGUCAGGGGUGAAAUCCCGGAGCUCAACUCCGGAACUGCCUUUGAUACUGGUAGUCUAGAGGCCGAGAGAGGUGAGUGGAACUCCUAGUGUAGAGGUGGAAUUCGUAGAUAUUAGGAAGAACACCAGUGGCGAAGGCGGCUCACUGGCUCGGUACUGACGCUGAGGUGCGAAAGCGUGGGGAGCAAACAGGAUUAGAUACCCCUGUAGU
rnacentral:rRNA from 1 species